AUUUAUUCAAUCAAUUUAUUUCACUCCAAUCUAUUAACUGUCAUACCACUUAUUGUAACAUUUAUGAAUCACAACCCAAAUAUGACUUAGCCGAAACAUAUGGGCCAAUGGAUAAAUUAUAAAUAUUCACAUGUACAAAGUUGUAACUUCCAGCACCGUGAAAUACAUAACCUAUAGUGAAUGCAGUAAAAAUAAAAUACAGAGCAAAUGGUAAAAGGGUAGCAAGACUUAAGGGAAAGUAAGAAUGUCACUUGCCAUUAUUACUUCAUCCAAUCCUAAUACGAACCUCCCACUGAAUAUACUUCAUCAAGCUCUGGAGCUCGUUGAUUAUCUCAACAAUGUCCUAGACAAUAACUUUUCCCUCAGACCUCUGAGCAUCCUAUCAACUUCCUCCAGUACAGCUUCACACGUAACCUUUUGAAGUGUAUUUUUAAGGGUGCCACUAUUUCUGCACAAAAAAAAAANNNNNNNNNNNNNNNNNNNNNNNNNNNNNNNNNNNCUCUCUCAAAUUUCAAUAGGAACUGAAGAGAAUGAUGAAGAGCAUGAUAAACCACAACCACAUAAACCCAUAGCAGAAUAUUAAGUGCAAAGAUAGGAAUAUCUGAAGAGUUCACCUCCCCGUUUAUCUUCCAUUUACAGACAAAAUGAUAGCAACAUAGUAAAAAAAAUCUAAGGAAAAGGGUUUCAUCUCCUACCUCAGAAGAAUGAAAAAAGACAUCAGAAAAAACGUGAUUGCUUGGGCAUAACCAGUACCCUUAACAACACAAGAAUAUUAUGCAUGAAAAUAAUAUCAUACCUUUGUAAUUUGUAUAAGUCUAUAAUUCAACUCCAUGGCAAGGCUACACCUUUCAACAAAAAACCCAAAUAAAAAAUUGUGGAGAUAAUACAGAGGGAGAAGUAAGAAUAAUGAAAUGAAACAAAAAAUGAGAUUAGGUACACUCAAUAAAGAAUUAAAGAUCAUAAGAGGUUGAAGUAAGUACCAUUUCUGAAUUUGAUAAAGAUAGGGAUAGUUCAUUACCAUCCUAGAGUCUACCUCCUUAAAAACAUUGAUCCAAUCUGGCAACCAUAAAAGAGUACAUGAUUAGUUAUGAACAGAAAAAAAAAAAAAAAUGUAACGACAUGGUAGUCUUAGCAGGGUAAAGAUGAAGUGAGUUGUGUAGGCAACUAAAUGAAUACAAAUGCAGGUGCACAAGAAGGAAAGUCAUGCCAAAGUUCUGGUAAUCCUACCGAGCAAAUUGAUUAACAAAACAAAUUAAUACCCAUUCCUUAACAUAAACAUGUAUCCACUGAUUAAGCCUUUACGACAUAGCUAAUGAAUGACAUGCAGGGCUCGGUGCUAGAAAAUAAAAAUGAGGGCAGAGUAGGGAUUGAUUCUCCAUGCAGGAUAAAGAUACCAACUUACACAUAUAACUUUCUUAUCACCAUGUCCACCCACUCACCUGACUAUAGAAUUCAACAUUUUCCACAAACAAUGAGAAGUAGCAAAAACAACCCCACAAUUUGUCAAAAACAAAUUUUUUUCCAGUGGCCUCACACCACACAAGUGGUUUUAGGUGGUAAUUUUGUUCCUCCUCCUAUAUUCACAAUCUAUAGAAAAUGACCCAAACAAAGAAAACAAACACACAUAAACCAACCAAGUUUCAAUUAGUCAAAGGCAAUGGAAUUGAGUGUCUCACCCCUAAAUGAGUUCCUAGCUUAUCCAUAAUAGCUUCUUCACAAAGACAGAGAAAGCUGGAAGCCAAUUAAAAUGGUGUGUGUGGCAAAUUAUGACCAUCAGAAAUCUGUUUAAAAAGAUAAAUUUUAGCACCCAUUUUUCAUGACAUUCACUAAUUUUACAUUUUAAAUUGUUUAUGGCAAACAAAUAUAUGCCAAUUACAAAAUCCAAAAAUAAUAUAACAGAUACAAUAAUAUCCAAAUUAAAACUACACCCUAAAUGAAAACAAACAUAUUAACAUAUUUUACAAUUUUUUUGAAUUUCAAAUAUCAGGUUUUACUAUACAAUGAUUUAUGAGAUCACAACUUCCAAAACUGGACAGAAAACCUCAAGAUCACCGUUUAAAACCAAUGAAAGCAAUAUAACCAAAGAAGACAUACAGAAAAAACCUACCUGGAAGCAAGCACGUAGCACUUCAUCAAGAAAAGAAAUAACAUGUGAAUUGAUCAAGACAAGAUUAAUAGCAUAUGGUUUGCGAGGAUCACCAACAGGAAACAUCUUUGCCUGGGCAUAAGCUACAAAGGGGAUGGAAAGGAGCAGCAAUCAACAAUUCUCUAUACGAAAGGGGAGAUAAGCAAAAGAAAAUUGCUUUGAGCAAGAACACCAAGAAGAACAGAAGAUAACAGUAUUUAUAGACAAGUGCAAGUGAGAAACAUUUGAGAAUUUUAAAAAUUAAAUUGAAUUGAGUUUCAACAGCAAACCUGCUUCACAACUAUGCAUAUCAAACCUCUGUUACUGACCUGACAUGGCUUCUGAUACACAUCUAUCCUCCUCCUUCAGACAGCACAUUCUGCACAUAUCAAAAAUUCAAAAUCCUUCAUCAACAGUUGUAUUCUCCUCCUUCAAAUUACAACCUAUCUGACUUAGGUCAGGGUGACGAAAUUUCCCCCAAAUCGUGUUCAACACGAAAACCUAAAAUUUCCCCCAAACUUACAACGAUCCUUUCUUCUACAACUACACACCUAACCCUAACAACUACUGCAGGACACAGGGUCUGCAACUGCAAGAAUGACGAUGGCUGACCACCAAAAACUAUGGACACACUCUUUG
rnacentral:lncRNA from 1 species